AAUUGACUAAAGUUGAACAACCCUUAUUAUUAUUUCUUCAGUAGCCGUCACUCCCAAAAACUCAUUUUCUCUCUUCCCUCCUGCUCUCCAUCUUCUCUUGUGGUUCUCUGGUUUUUCGGUCUAAUGAGCUUGGAUUUGGAUUAUUGGAAGUUUUCGGCCAUCUAGUCUCUUCGUUGUUCACUCCAGUACACGAGGUAAAACUGACGACCAUUGAUUGCGGCUCAUCCUGGAAAUUUUCAUUAAAGAAAAUGGAAUCUCUGAUAUCGAAAAUGAUGAGGUACAUGAUCAACUAAAUGGUGUAGGGAGGAAGAAUGAUCUUGUUAUUGGAACGCAAUUCUUGGUGGAGGAUCAGGCUGACAACUUGGUUUUUAAAUUACUUAGUGAUCUUUUAUAGGUUGUAAUUUUUACUUUAUUUUGCUAUAUUUAAAUGUAGGUGAAUAGGUUAGGAAUAUAGGGUAGAACGUCAAUUAAUUUGGGGAAGCUUUGUCCGCAAAAUCGGACAAUAAUGUAAAACUAUAGAUCUUUUCUAAUGUACGAACUAUUUUUGUAAAAUUUUUGUUACUGUUAUAAUUAUUUUAUUUGUUAUGAACAUUAUAUAAUUA